GACUAGAGGGUGCCGUAAAGCUUCGGCUCCCUGGGUUCUCAAAGGAAGCGGAUGGACCUCUCCUGAGGUCUAGGAAGAGAUAGACAGGCCAAUGGGCCUGAACCAGUGUCCCUGGUUUCCCACUGACACUCAUGUUCCCAGGGUGGAAGCACAAUGGAAGUGACUGCGGACCGAGUGUAUUUCCAAAUCUUGCUGCUGCUCUGAAGGCAGCCAUUUUGUCUCUUUCCCAUUGUUCUCCUUUGCCAAGUGACUCACACAUCCACACCCCACCCAGAAGGUUAAAGGUCAGGUUGUUGGUCUGGUGGCCUCCAUGGUCUUCAAGGCUCCAAGAAGGUCACUGCUGAGGGAACCGACCCGGGGGCCAUCUUUACCAGACAGUGUUAGGAGCUUCAUACUUCAAUCACCCAACACUGCGCUGGAAGAUGGACCCAGAGCCGGCCUACAGAAAACCAGACCACAGCUGAUCGACUGCUAGAGCGAAGCCGCUGCUGGCUGGCUGGCUGGCUGGGGACCUCUUGAGUGCGCAGACAAUCCCAAGGCCAAAGUCGGCUUCAGGUCAUAGAAGUCCCCCGAGUUCUGGAUCCGAAUGUGGGUCACCUGGUCAUCCACCCUGCAAGGCCCCAGGGAGUGAGGCCCCAGCAUUGGGAAUUUACACUAUGAAAGGUCUGGAACCACCAUGGACUCAGCUCACCCCCAGGGUCAGGAAGACCAAUGGUUAGGAACCAAUUGGUUCCAGCACGGGGAACCAUCCCAUCCUAACCAUCAGAGUCCAACCCAGAGAAGUAUCCAGUGAGAAAACUCAUGAGUACAUGUACACAGACAUGGUUACAUGUAUGCUUCCUGGUCUGCCCCUGCAUGCAGAUGAGUAAGCAUUACACAGACAUAUGCAAGCAGACCUUGUAUAGUAACACAAAUUAUGUGCACCCCAUCAUCUGUGUCCAUCCAUAUACAUACCUUGCUGGGGGCAGAUCCCCAACACAAGGACACAGGAAGUUCCAGGUACCUGCUUAGCGCCACACCAACUGAAACCAGGUCUAGGACUCUUCAUUCCAGAGUUAAGCCCACUUAGUGUGAAGGAGCUUACUAGGUACCUAAUACUCCUGACCCUUUAAGUGUAUCUAAAGAAUGUCAAGCCAGAAAACAAGACACUCCAAUAAUAUGGAGUGCUAUCCUCUGGCAGGAAGAUAAUCGUAAUCUCCCAAGAAGCAAGGCCCAUGGCCCUGGAGUUGGAAGAGCAUUAGGACAAUAUACACAAUCAUCCCAUUUGAGCCCUUGACCACCUAGGAUGUAGGGAUUUUGUCUUUGUUUUAAGGAGGAGGGUCAAGGAGGCUGACAGUCCUAAAUGCAAGUGCCUGGUAUCUAGAAGAGAAAGAACUUCCUCUGGGAAGCAAGGGAUGAAAGAAGACAUCACGACCAAUGGCAAUGCAAGAAGACAGGCCCUGGGUACCGUAGUCAAGACACAGCGAGAUCUUACAUAGCUACUGGACAUCUCUGAGCCUUGGUAUUCCAACCUAAUAAAUGAGCUCAACAGAUUUCCUAAAUUGAGACCUAAAAAGUGAAUAAAGCAACCAGGUGUGGUGGCUUA